rfam:Myotis lucifugus cont2.27164, whole genome shotgun sequence.
GGAAAUUCUAGGGUGACGCACCCCAGAAUCAAGCUCCCUCCUCUCUGGUUCUGGGUGCAUCACUGGAGAACCACA